UGUUUUUUUUGGUGUCACACAAGCGUUUAGUUUUCGUUUGUUUGUUAAUUUUUUUUUCUAUUUGCGAUUAGAGUGUGUGUGGAUUUCAUUCUGAGUGAAGCUUUAUUUAUCAUCAAUAACUUUUUUUUUCUAAUCGUGAAUUUAACAUACCACACAUAAUACCAUCGAGAUGGUGUCAUCAUCAUCAUCAUCAUCAUCAUCAACCCCACCAAACAACAAAUGUGCUCACAAAAACAUUUCUACGACGUCGAUGAUGAUAAAUUUUUUUGGUGAAUGACGAUUCGAACGUAUUCAAACAAAGAAGAUUGAAAACAAAACAACAAAACAUUCGAACGUUCAUUUUUGAGCCAUCCAUUUUUAUCCAUCCAUCCAGAGCCAACCAGCCAGCUAGCCAAAAAAAACAACAACAACAACAAAACAUUUAAAUCAAUCAGACACUUAUUCUCACAUUUGUUUUCGGUUGUUAAAUUGUGUGAUAUAAUUGCGUGUGUGUCUAUUAUGGUUGAAAUGUUUAAAUGAUGAUGAUGAUCAUCAUCAUCAUCAUCAUGAUCAUCGACGGUGUAUAGCACACAUAGACACACACACACAUACACGUAUAUAUAAAAUGAAAUAAGAAGCUCAAAGUAUUCCUAUUUUUUUUCUACAUCUUCAUUCUCUAUCAUUGGAUUUGUCUGUACCACCGUAAUCAGCACAAAUUCAAUCAUACAUCAU